rnacentral:rRNA from 2 species
ACACGCCGCGUGAGUGAGAAGGGUUUCGGCUCGUAAAACUCUGUUGUUAAAGAAGAACAUAUCUGAGAGUAACUGUUCAGGUAUUGACGGUAUUUAACCAGAAAGCCACGGCUAACUACGUGCCAGCAGCCGCGGUAAUACGUAGGUGGCAAGCGUUGUCCGGAUUUAUUGGGCGUAAAGCGAGCGCAGGCGGUUUUUUAAGUCUGAUGUGAAAGCCUUCGGCUCAACCGAAGAAGUGCAUCGGAAACUGGGAAACUUGAGUGCAGAAGAGGACAGUGGAACUCCAUGUGUAGCGGUGGAAUA